rnacentral:rRNA from 1 species
GACGAACGCUGGCGGCGUGCUUAACACAUGCAAGUCGAACGAUGAAGCUGGAGCUUGCUCCGGUGGAUUAGUGGCGAACGGGUGAGUAACACGUGAGCAAUCUGCCCUUGACUCUGGGAUAACUGCGGGAAACUGUAGCUAAUACCGGAUACUUUCCUUGGUGGGCAUCCACUGGGGAAGAAAGAAUUUCGGUCAAGGAUGAGCUCGCGGCCUAUCAGCUAGUUGGUGAGGUAAUGGCUCACCAAGGCGACGACGGGUAGCCGGCCUGAGAGGGUGACCGGCCACACUGGAACUGAGACACGGUCCAGACUCCUACGGGAGGCAGCAGUGGGGAAUAUUGCACAAUGGGCGAAAGCCUGAUGCAGCAACGCCGCGUGAGGGACGAAGGCCUUCGGGUUGUAAACCUCUUUUAGCAGGGAAGAAGCGAAAGUGACGGUACCUGCAGAAAAAGCACCGGCUAACUACGUGCCAGCCGCCGCCUGUAA